GGCUCAGGACGAACGCUGGCGGCGUGCUUAACACAUGCAAGUCGAGCGAGGCCCUCCUUCGGGGGGUGCCCUAGCGGCGAACGGGUGAGUAACACGUGGGCAACCUGCCCUCAGCUCUGGGAUAACUCCAAGAAAUUGGUGCUAAUACCGGAUGUGACCGCUGACCGCAUGGUCUGGUGGUGGAAAGAUUCAUCGGCUGAGGAUGGGCCCGCGGCCUAUCAGCUUGUUGGUGGGGUCACGGCCCACCAAGGCGACGACGGGUAGCCGGCCUGAGAGGGUGACCGGCCACACUGGGACUGAGACACGGCCCAGACUCCUACGGGAGGCAGCAGUGGGGAAUAUUGCGCAAUGGGCGAAAGCCUGACGCAGCGACGCCGCGUGAGGGAUGACGGCCUUCGGGUUGUAAACCUCUUUCAGUAGGGACGAAGCGCAAGUGACGGUACCUACAGAAGAAGCACCGGCCAACUACGUGCCAGCAGCCGCGGUAAUACGUAGGGUGCAAGCGUUGUCCGGAAUUAUUGGGCGUAAGAGCUCGUAGGCGGUCUGUCACGUCGGCUGUGAAAACCCGAGGCUCAACCUCGGGCCUGCAGUCGAUACGGGCAAACUAGAGUACUGCAGGGGAGACUGGAAUUCCUGGUGUAGCGGUGAAAUGCGCAGAUAUCAGGAGGAACACCGGUGGCGAAGGCGGGUCUCUGGGCAGUAACUGACGCUGAGGAGCGAAAGCGUGGGGAGCGAACAGGAUUAGAUACCCUGGUAGUCCACGCCGUAAACGUUGGGCGCUAGGUGUGGGGGCCAUUCCACGGUCUCCGUGCCGCAGCUAACGCAUUAAGCGCCCCGCCUGGGGAGUACGGCCGCAAGGCUAAAACUCAAAGGAAUUGACGGGGGCCCGCACAAGCGGCGGAGCAUGUUGCUUAAUUCGAUGCAACGCGAAGAACCUUACCUAGGCUUGACAUGCACGGAAAUCUCGUAGAGAUACGGGGUGCCUUUGGCGUCGUGCACAGGUGGUGCAUGGUUGUCGUCAGCUCGUGUCGUGAGAUGUUGGGUUAAGUCCCGCAACGAGCGCAACCCUCGUCCUAUGUUGCCAGCACGUGAUGGUGGGGACUCAUAGGAGACUGCCGGGGUCAACUCGGAGGAAGGUGGGGAUGACGUCAAAUCAUCAUGCCCCUUAUGUCUAGGGCUGCAAACAUGCUACAAUGGCCGGUACAAAGGGCUGCGAUACCGCGAGGUGGAGCGAAUCCCAAAAAGCCGGUCUCAGUUCGGAUUGGGGUCUGCAACUCGACCCCAUGAAGUUGGAGUCGCUAGUAAUCGCAGAUCAGCAACGCUGCGGUGAAUACGUUCCCGGGCCUUGUACACACCGCCCGUCACGUCACGAAAGUCGGUAACGCCCGAAGCCGGUGGCCCAACCCUUGUGGAGGGAGCCGUCGAAAGGCGGGAUCGGCGAUUGGGA
rnacentral:rRNA from 1 species